UUUAUGGUUGAUUAAGGGCUAAGGUUAGGGUUGGGUGUAGGGUUUGAUUUUAUGGUUGAUUAAGGGUUAAGGUUAGGGUUAGGUAUAGGGUUAGAUUUUAGGGUUGAUUAAGGGUUAAGGUUAGGGUUAGGUGUAGUGUUAGAUUUUAUGGUUGAUUAAGGGUUA